GCAAGUCGAGCGAAUGGAUUAAGAGCUUGCUCUUAUGAAGUUAGCGGCGGACGGGUGAGUAACACGUGGGUAACCUGCCCAUAAGACUGGGAUAACUCCGGGAAACCGGGGCUAAUACCGGAUAACAUUUUGAACUGCAUGGUUCGAAAUUGAAAGGCGGCUUCGGCUGUCACUUAUGGAUGGACCCGCGUCGCAUUAGCUAGUUGGUGAGGUAACGGCUCACCAAGGCAACAAUGCGUAGCCACCCGGAGAGGGUAAUCGGCCACACUGGGACGGAGCCACGGCCCAGACUCUUACGGAGGGCAGCAGUGGGGAAUCUUCCGCAAUGGACGAAAGUUUGACGGAGCAACCCCGCGUGAGUAAUGAAGGCUUUCGGGUCGUAAAACUCUGUUGUUAGGAAAAAACAAGUGCUAGUUGAAUAAGCUGGCACCUUGAGGGUACCAAACCAGAAAGCCACGGCUAACUACGUGCCAGCAGCCGGGGAAAUACGGAGGGGGCAAGCGUUAUCCGGAAUUAUUGCGGUGUAGAGCGCGCGCAGGUGGUUUCUUGAGUCUUAUGUCAAAGCCCACGUCUCAACCGGGGAGGGUCAUUGGAAACUGGGGAGACUUGAGUGCAGA
rnacentral:rRNA from 1 species